rnacentral:rRNA from 1 species
UACGUAGGGUCCGAGCGUUGUCCGGAAUUACUGGGCGUAAAGAGCUCGUAGGUGGUUUGUCGCGUUGUUCGUGAAAACUCACAGCUCAACUGUGGGCGUGCGGGCGAUACGGGCAGACUGGAGUACUGCAGGGGAGACUGGAAUUCCUGGUGUAGCGGUGGAAUGCGCAGAUAUCAGGAGGAACACCGGUGGCGAAGGCGGGAUCCUGGGCCAGUACUGACGCUGAGGAGCGAAAGCGUGGGGAGCAAACAGG